rnacentral:rRNA from 1 species
UACGUAGGGUGCGAGCGUUGUCCGGAAUUAUUGGGCGUAAAGAGCUCGUAGGCGGCUCGUCACGUCGGCUGUGAAAACCCGGGGCUCAACCCUCGAAUGCCGGUGGAUACUGUCGGGCUAGAGUGCGGAAGAGGCGAGUGGAAUUCCUGGUGUAGCGGUGAAAUGCGCAGAUAUCAGGAGGAACACCGAUUGCGAAGGCAGCUCGCUGGGACGUAACUGACGCUGAGACGCGAAAGCGUGGGGAGCAAACAGG